UGGGGCGCGCUCUGCGCGCACCGGCGGACGGCUCAGUAACACGUCGGUAACCUACCCUCGGGAGGGGGAUAACCCCGGGAAACUGGGGCUAAUCCCCCAUAGGCCUGGGGUACUGGAAGGUCCCCAGGCCGAAAGGGGCUCUGCCCGCCCGAGGAUGGGCCGGCGGCCGAUUAGGUAGUUGGUGGGGUAACGGCCCACCAAGCCGAAGAUCGGUACGGGCCAUGAGAGUGGGAGCCCGGAGAUGGACACUGAGACACGGGUCCAGGCCCUACGGGGCGCAGCAGGCGCGAAACCUCCGCAAUGCGGGCAACCGCGACGGGGGGACCCCCAGUGCCGUGGCACAGCCACGGCUUUUCCGGAGUGUAAAAAGCUCCGGGAAUAAGGGCUGGGCAAGGCCGGUGGCAGCCGCCGCGGUAAUACCGGCGGCCCAAGUGGUGGCCGCUAUUAUUGGGCCUAAAGC
rnacentral:rRNA from 1 species